CCUACGGGAGGCAGCAGUAGGGAAUAUUGCUCAAUGGGGGAAACCCUGAAGCAGCAACGCCGCGUGGAGGAUGAAGGUUUUCGGAUUGUAAACUCCUUUUGUUAGAGAAGAUAAUGACGGUAUCUAACGAAUAAGCACCGGCUAAAUCCGUGCCAGCAGCCGCGGUAAUACGGAGGGUGCAAGCGUUACUCGGAAUCACUGGGCGUAAAGAGCGCGUAGGCGGGAUAGCAAGUCAGAUGUGAAAUCCUAUGGCUUAACCAUAGAACUGCAUUUGAAACUGUUAUUCUAGAGUAUGGGAGAGGUAGGUGGAAUUCUUGGUGUAGCGGUGAAAUGCGUAGAGAUCAAGAGGAAUACUCAGUGCGAAGGCGACCUGCUAGAACAUAACUGACGCUGAUGCGCGAAAGCGUGGGGAGCAAACAGGAUUAGAUACCCUUGUAGUC
rnacentral:rRNA from 1 species